UACGUAGGGUGCAAGCGUUGUCCGGAAUUAUUGGGCGUAAAGAGCUCGUAGGCGGUUUGUCGCGUCUGCUGUGAAAACCGGAGGCUCGACCUCCGGCCUGCAGUGGGUACGGGCAAACUAGAGUGCGGUAGGGGAGAUUGGAAUUCCUGGUGUAGCGGUGGAAUGCGCAGAUAUCAGGAGGAACACCGAUGGCGAAGGCAGAUCUCUGGGCCGUAACUGACGCUGAGGAGCGAAAGCGUGGGGAGCGAACAGG
rnacentral:rRNA from 1 species